UGCCACAGCCAUAUCACCCUGCAGCCCAAGACUGGUUGCCCACUGAAGCUAAGGAGGGCUGAACCUGGCCAGUACCUGGAUGAGAGACUCCUGGGAAAACUUGGUUGCUGAUGGAA
rnacentral:rRNA from 1 species